rnacentral:lncRNA from 1 species
CGAGGAUGACGAGGAGAACGAGGAUUUGUGCACGAAGGUAAAUGCAGCCAGCAUCAUGUCAAAAUCGGAAACUCUCUGAUGUUCUGCGAUAAGUUCUCAUCUCUACCGUUGGAAUAUCUCACGGAGCAAUUUUCGGUUGUCACAUCUAAGCCAACGAGGGCAACUGUACCUAUAGUUUUCAUCCAAUGGUACAACCCGAGGUGGUUAUCGGUGGUUGUUCGAGGUGGUUGGCGAUUGUUGGAGGU